GGGGGGGGGAGCGGGGCGCAUGCGUCGGAGCGCACUGCAGCGCUCCUGGAGAUGUUGUGGAUUUGUGGCAUCAGCGCAGAGGCUGCUAGCGUAGCAGAUUUCGUACAUGGUGUUCAUUGCAGUUAACUCAAGGCUACUGCCACCCAGGCACGUCUCUCUGUCCAGCCGCUCCCUCCACAUUCUCCAGCAGUAAGGAUUUUUGCUACGACACUCGCUUCAGCAAGAGAUCUGGUGCUUAGAACCCUAGCUGUCUGGCUUUGAACUUGAGCUGUACCAGAGGAUGACUGACAUAUGCCAUGCUUCUGCUCAAGUGCUGGAAUUACAGAGAAUGCAGUCAGAAAUUAUGCUGCUUGUGAAGAGAUACAUUGAGCCUUUUGGUCCAGUGAAGUUAUUAAGAAUGUGAUUUAAAAUUGUGAUAAAAUCUGGAUUGUCCUACUCAAGAUUUGCCAGCACACCAGGAUGAAUCAAUUGUUUCCAUGGAUAGACACCUUUGGGAGACAGUUGGAAAGCCUUGACUCAAACCCAGGAUCAUGGACAUACUAAACAAUUGCUCUAGCACUGAACUGUAUCUCUGCCUCUGGGGAAGGUAUCUUUAAAAAAAGGUUGUAGAGUUUGCCAGAUCCUAUGAGUGACCUCAAAAGAGAAGAGGAGGGUUCUCCCCUCAGUGAUAAAGGUAACACAGUUAAGUAAGGUAAGUAGGAAAAUAAAGGCUGACUCUGAUCUCACUUCUGGUUAGGGAGACUCUUAGAAAUGCCAUUUCUUUUGGGGAGGAGGGGUUGAGACCAGGUUUCUCUGUAGCCCUGGAUCUCCUGGAACGUUACCUUGUGUUCUUUGUCAUGAUGAUCUUCCUUGCCAUAGGCUGAAGGGAACAGGCCAAUUGGCCAUGGACUAUAACUUUUGAAACUGUGAGUCAAAAUAAACCUUCUUUCACCUUUUAAGUUGUUUGUCUCUGGUAUUUUGUUAUAGAGAUGGUAAGGGUACGAACCACAAUCAGGGUUCUGAUUAGUUAGAAUUAGGACUUAAAAGCAUAAUUCCAUGAUGAUUUAACACAGGACCUCAUGUUAAACAACCAAGCUGCACACACCCACAGUGGUUCUGUAUAUUGCACCUAGAUCUUCAAAGACAUGCUAGGCAAACAGCCUCUCACUGAACUUAGUUCCAGUUCCACUCCACCAUCCCCAGAAUGCUGAAGACCAAACAGAUCUCAUGUGCAUGCUUUGCCACUGGCUACACCCACAGCCCUCUCAUUUUCAUUAGAAAUUGUUCUUUAUUUUAUGUGUAUGGGUCUUUUGCCUGCAUGUAUGUCGAUACUACAUGCAUGUAUAGUAGAGUCCAGAAGCUGAUGGGGCUGAAUCUCCUAAGACUAGAGUUAUAGACAAUUCUCAGCCAACACAUUGGUGCUGGGAAUCUAACCACUGAGCCAUCUUUUCAGCCCCAUCUUCUAUUUCAGUUUUUGUUUUGAUGUUUUGAGACAGGUUUUCUCUGUGAAACACCUGGUGUCGUGGAACUCACUUUGUAGAACAUGCUGGCCUUGAACUCAAAAGAAAUUUGACUGCCUUUCCCUUUCCAAGUGCUGGGAUUAAAGAUGUGCCCAGUUAUUUAAGUUUUUUAAUGUGGUUUUUUGUUUGCUUGUUUUUAGUGGUACUAGAGAAUGACCCUGGAGCCUUUUGCAUGGUAGGCAUGUACUAUACCAGUGACCUCUUUACUUAAUUCGUUAGUUAUUUUUAUUUUGAGACAGGGAUGCCACUUAAUUGUCCAGGCUGGUUUAAAUUCACUCUGUAGCCCCAACAAACUUAAACAUGUUUUUUUUUUUUUCCUUCCUCAACUUCCCAAGUAGUUGGAAUUAUAGGCAAUUACAGGCCUUUGCCACAAGGCUUGACAUACUUUUUUAUUAAAUAAAUUAUUUAUCUUUAUUUUAUGUGCAUUGGUGUGAAGGUAUCAGGUUCCCUGGAACUGGAGUUACAGACAGUUGUGAGCUGCCAUGUGGGUGCUGGGAAUCAAACCCAGUUCCUCUGGAAGAGCAGUCAGUGCUCUUAACCUCUGAGCCAUCUCUCCAGCCCGAGGCUUGACUUCUUUUCAUUUUAUUUAUUCAUUUAUUUUUUAUUAUUUAUUUAUUUAUUUAUUGGUUUUUCGAGACAGGGUUUCUCUGUGUCUUUGGAGACUGUCCUAGAACUAGCUCUUGUAGACCAGGCUGGUCUGGAACUCAAAGAGAUCCACCUGCCUCUGCCUCCCGAGUACUGGGAUUAAAGGCACACGCCACCAGUGCCCGGCUGAGGCUUGACAUCUUGACUUUUUUUUUUUAAUUUUCUUGUUGGUAGUGCUGGGGUGGGGACCCAAGGUACUCUACUACUGUACACUAGCCCUACUUUUACAUUUUCAAAUAAUAGAAUUUUGGGAACUGGGGAUGGCUCACUGGAUAAACACUUGCUAUGCAGUUUCAGUCCUCAACGCCUAUAUAAAACACUGGGUGUGGGCUCUAGAGAGAUGGCUCAGCAGUUUAAAAAAGGCUUGCUGCACUUGUAAUAGAUAAGAGCUUUGUCCUAGUAUCCAUGUUAGGCUGUCUAUAACUCCAGCUCCAGGGAAUCUAGUACCCUUUUCUCACUGCCAUGGACUCACAUGCCAAAGUACACACACACACACACACACACACACACACACACACACACACACACACACACACACAAUAAAUAAAUAAAUAAAUAAAUAAAUGAAAUAAAAUAAAAUCUAAAAAGAAGCCUAACAUGGCCAUGAGAACACGUAACCCCAGUCCUAUAGAUGAGAGACUUGAGGAUCAGUAGGGAUUGCUACCUCCAAGUUUGUUCCAGGUUCAUUAAGAAACCAUGUGUCAAAGAAUAAAGUAGAGAAUAAUGGAGUAGGACUCUUGAUUCCCUCUGUCUGGCCUCUGUGCACAUUUCCCAUGUAUCAUUGUUAUGAUAGCACAUGGGGGAUCUUGGUGGAUUCCAUGGCAGGCAAGGGUGACUGAGGUGGGGGACAAACAUGCCAGGCAGACAGAUCUUAGUGAGGAGUUUCAUUAGAAAGGGUAGGGAGGGGGAAGGAAAGAGAAAAGAGGCACAGAGAGGACAGAAGAGAAGAGGGGGACAGGAAAAAUCCUGUCUGCCCCAGGGAAACGGCAGGAGAGAGAGAGAGCAGAAAGAGAGUGGGGAAGAGAGGAAAAGAGUGUAAGUGAACAGGGGUCUGUCUUUGAAAGGGGUCCUUGGCACCUGCGUCCAGACUAGUCAUGGAACCCUGGGCUGACCAGGGUACUGCCUGAGUGCAUUCUGCCAGGUGACAGGGGCAGACCGGCAUAAUGACUGAAUUUUUACAUUCCCAUGAUUGUUAUUAAAAAGGUAAAAGAGUUAGGUGAGGCAGGUAAGGGAAUAAGGGCCUUGAGUUCUCAAGAUUACUUCCUGCUGACCUUGGGGGGGGGGGAAUGUCGACCAUCUUUGGGGGACCUGAGGAAGCUGGGGUAGCUGGUGUUUCAUCACAGUCCAGGCUGUAUGGAACUCUCUGGUGCCUCUUAGACCUGGCAAGAUCUUGGCAGAGCAGAGGACAUGGUUAAAUUUAAGAAAAAACAUUUUCUUAGGUCCUGGUACUUGAGGGAAGAAGGAUCAUAGAUGAGGGAGUGGUUCCUGAGGGUUCCCAAGAUGAGGGAAGGGAGUCACGGGAUCUGGGAAAGGGUGAAUGCUAUUCAUCUGGAGUGAAACUGACCUUUCUGGGUAAGUCCAAUUCAGGACCCUGGAACUUAGAAGUUUUAGACACAUUAGCAUUUCCAUUGUUUAUGAUCUGUACAUUAUAGAAAUGGCAGUAUACUCAUGUCAGAAAUGAUUUUGUUUGAAAACAUUAACACUCUUAAAACUGACAGAUAUCUUUAGCAAAGCGAAAAGCACCUUAAUUUUGAGCUUGCAGUUAUCAUAUAAUGGUAUAGUUUGGUGUUUUCUACUCUGUAAGAGUUGGAUUAGUAGCUUAUUAAAAUUAUUAAUUAAUGUUAAAACUGAACAGUUGAUUGAGAGAGAAAGAACUCUGAUAACUUGUAAUUGUACACCUUAAGUUACUUUGUUAUGCCUAGAAACAUUUUUAGAUUCAUACAUCUUAACUUUUUAUGGUCUUACAUAAACUUUAUACCUUAAAACAUCUUUUUAAACAGAGGAAUAGUAAGAAGUUAUACUGAAACCUACCUGCCAUCCUAAACUGCAUCAGAAUUCUUGAGAAGGAUAAAAUUUUUCCUGGAUUAAUGAUUAGAGAAUGACAGAGAUUUACUAGUUGGCCAAGUGGACAGCCACUCCCAGAGUCCUACAUAGUUGUUGAGGUUUUAAGGACAUCCACCUUCUGCUGAUAGUGAGCCCUAUGGUUUAAGAGUUUUAGGAAUACUUGCUUAUCAUUGGCCUAAGCAAGGUGGAGAAAGUCUUAUUCCACUGUACUCUUUUUAGUUUUUUGAGACAGGGUUUCUCUGUGGCUUUGGAAGCUGUCAUGGAACUAGCUCUUGUAGAUCAGUCUGGUCUCAAACUCACAGAAAUCCGCCUGCCUCUGCCUCUGCCUCUGCCUCCCAAGUGCUGGGAAUAAAGGCGUCCGCCACUACCGCCCGGUUUCCACUGCACUCUUGUCUUCGGUCCGAAGAGUCCUUUAUAGCAGAUGAGGUGAAAGACAGGGUUUCUCAGUGGCUAUCGUUACCACUUUUGUUGCUGGAGUUUCUUCAGUGUCCACCAGUCUUCUUAGAGAAAAUGUGGUGGUACCAGCGGUUGGCCUGUCUCUCUGUUAUGAAAAGCUUUUUAAUACAACAUUUUAAAUGUCAUUUUCUCUAGAUCUCUGAGCAUUUGAGGGCUGUCUAGUAUAUCUCAGCAGACAAAAUUUGUCUUUAGUUACUUGCCUUAGGCACAUAGGUGGCUACGUAACGCUUUAUCCCUGUAAAUAAUUAAUCUGUACUUAGUAUGGCUAUAAUGACAUUAGUGCAGGGUCUGUGUGGCAAACUGGAUUGAAGCUGUGAGGUUGCGGAGGGAUCGUUUACUCAGAGCCCUCCAGUCAGACUAGAACUGGUUUUAACUUAGUAACUUAAAUAUGCCUGUGAAGGACAAAGAAAUUAAGAUAAAUCCCCUUUUGUAAUACUAAAUUUUUAUUGUAUAAUAUAUAACAAUUUAGAAAUAUUUGAGACUUAUUGCUUCCUCAGUCUAGGAGAUACACAUACAUAGAGUUAAAGCUGGCUUACAUUUUUAAAGAGUGGCUACAUGUACACAUACACAUAUAUAUUAAACAGGCCUGGGUAAAAGUAAGAAGGAAGGACCAGAGUGUGAUCUCUGAUUCUCAUGUUGUAGCAAACAGACAGGCCAUUUAAAGAGACAGAGAAGACUUCAAACUGCCAGUGACAAGAAAGCAGAUCCGCUGCAGAUAGAACAAGCAGGGUUUUUGCAUGAAAUGUGGGCCCUACAGGGCCCUGGAAGGGCACACCAUUACGGAAACAAGCCAUAUGAAACAGCCAGCGAAAGAAAUUAGAGACCAAAAAAAAAAAAAAAAAAAAGGUAAAUGAAUUAUGACUGGCAGCAGGGUUUGUCAGCAGAAGCUGGCUAGACUGUCCCUCUGACUAGGCUGACAGAAGGGAGUAACCCAUGGGAUGGGCGGAUCACCAGCCAGGCCGCAUGGUUGCUCUCAGUCAAGUUGUCAUAAGCAGGUUCCUUCCACUGGCAGAAGUUAGAAAGGUCCCAUAAAGUUUUGAGAUAUAAUUUUGUUGGCUUAUUCCACAAAAGCAAGGCAGAAAGAUACAUGACACCAAGAGGCACAACAUCCAAAAAGACCCCCAUAGGUCUGAGAAACAAAUGCACUAGUCAGUAUGGACAGUGCUAGGGUAUAAAACACAAGAGACCCCUGUGUGGCGGAGAAACGAAUGUACCAGCAGAUAUGGACGGUGAUAGGGUGUAAACCCUGGAAACCUUAUUUGUGGAAUAAAACGUCCCAAGCAGACCCAGUCUGCUGUGAGCCCCUGGCAUCUCUCUAUAAUCUCCAGCAUCCCAGAUACUAAGGGAGGAGGCAUAGUCCCAUUUUGUGGUCCAUCAAGGGCAAGGGCUUGGUCACCCAGUACUGGGUUUUUUUACUGGGCCAAAAUGAAGAAACAAUGGUCUCGAUACAAGUCCUAACUCAUGGAAGCAUGGCAGAGUUGAGAGAAAGGGCUAGGCUUACUGGACCUGGUGUUGAUGGGGAUGGAAGAAUCCAGAGAUCCUUCGUUGGAAAAGUGACAGAGUUGUAGGUUACAGGGUGCCAAGAGCAGGAGGAAAUGCCAGGGAAGCCUGCCAAGUCACGGGCAAAGCGCAUGGACCUUGUCGGAAUCCAUGCAGGUGGGGAACAAACACGCCAGGCAGAGAGAGCUCAGUGAAAACUUUUAUUUGAAAGGGGAGGAAAGGGGAAAGGAAAGAGAAAAGAGACACAGACAGUGAGAGGACAGAAGAGAAGAGGGAGACAGGAAAAGUCCUGGGUACCCCAUGGCAACGGCAGGAGAGACAGCAGAAAGAGAGAGUGGGAAAGAUAUAAGUGGGCAGGGGUCUGUCUUUUCGUUUUUGUUUGUUUUUCGAGACAGGGCUUCUCCGUGGCUUCUGAGGCUGUCCUGGAACUCACUCUUAUAGCCCAGGCUGGUCUUAAUCUCUGUGAGAGAUUCCCCUGCCUCUGCCUCCCGAGUGCUGGGACUAAAGGCAUGUGUCACCACCGCCUGGCAGGGGUCUUUCUUUAACAUGGGUCCUUUGCGUCUGCGUGCAGACUAAUUCUCAUGGAUCCCUGGGCUGACCAGAGUACUGCCUGAGUGCAUUCUGCCAGGUGACAGGGCAGGCCAGCAUGAUGCUUGAAUCCUUACAUGCAUGCAUAUGCAUACAUAUAGGUAUGCCACAUACAUAAACACACAAAUAUGUAUUUUAGAAUUUGGCGUUUAAUAAACAUGGAGUCAUCCUUGAAUGGUGCUGUAUACGCCCUUGAAUUCUUUAGAAAAUAUACAGUUCAUGAGUACAAAGUGAAUUGCUACUGGGAUCACGAGUCAGAAAGCCAGUUUUGAUUUGUUCCUAUGUAAUUGCCUUUGUCCUUCCCCAGCAUAUUGGACAGUCUAUGUAGGAAUACCUCCCUUCCCCAGGCUCAGUGAGCAACUGGUACUGUUCUUCCAUCUAACAUCCUUCAUAGCAGUUUCUCUUCUAUACUACUUUCUGUCAAGGGCAGCUGGGAUUCAAAGCAUGGGUCACUGUACCCCUAUGCCCCGCUCAUCAUUUUUAUUUUAUUAAUUUUUUUAAUUUAGUUUUUUUAAAAAUACCGUGUCUCACUGUGUGCUUUAGUCUGGCCUUCACCUCCCAAGUGCAAGAAUUACAGGCAUGCUCCAUAAUGCCCAGAUUUUUUGUUGUUACUUUUUAAGAUUUACUUCUUUUUAUUAUGUGUAUGAGUAUUUUGCACAGGUGUAUAUAUGCCAGGUGCAUGCCUGGUGCACAGGGAGGGCAAAAGUGUGUAUGUGAUCAUUUGGAAUUGGAGUUAUAGAUGGCUGUGGGUGCUGUGAAUCUAACCCUGGAUCCUUUCAAAGAUCAGCCAGAGCCCUAACAACUGAGCCAUCUGAGUUAUUGGUUUUGUUUUGCGGUCCCAUCUUGUUAUUCACCCAUGUUGUUUGUAGAUUGCAAAUAUUUCUGCCAUGUCCUAUCAGUGCUGGAAGUAAUGACUAGUAGAGGGCCACCACACUGUCAUUUUCUGCUUUCUCUUCAAAAUUUUGAGUAUAUAAUUUUAUAAUUUCCUCCUUCCCUUUUUCUCCCUAAAGUCUUAUCACAUAUACCCCCACACACACACACACGCCUUCUUUUCAAUUUAUGCUUUUUUCUUUCUUUUGGUAUUUUGACACAGGGUAGCUCUGACUGUCCUGGAACUUGCUCUGUAUAACAGGUUGGGCUUGAAUUUACAGUGAUCCACCUGCCUCUGCCUCCUGAGUGCUGGAAUAAAAGGUGUUUGCUAGCACUUCCCAGCAUUUUCAGGUUUUGUGGGGUUUUUUGUUUUGUUUUGUUGUUGUUGUUUUUUUUUUUUUUUUCCUUUGACAGUGUUUCUCAGUGUAACUAUCAUGGCUUUCCUGGAACUCACAGAUCCAAAUGCCUUUGUCUCCCAAGUGUUGGGAUUAAAGUUGUGAGCAACACUGCCCUGCCUCUAUUUCUUUAACUGGUGUGUGUGUGUGUGUGUGUGUGUGUGUGUGUGUUCCUAAAUACAAAUUGCUCAUGUGUAUGUUUUCAGCACUGACAAUUUGGUAUUAGAUAUCAAAAUAGUGUAUCCUAACAUGUGGAGGACUUUUUACUCCCACUCUCAGCAUCUCUUAACUUAGCUGCAAUUCUUUGUGUAGGAUUGAUUGAGGCCUUGUGAAUUUUCUUCUGCUUUUUCGUUCUCUUUAAAUUUUUUUUCCUUUUGGAAAAGAUUUCUUUUUAUUUUAUGUGUAAGAGUGUUUUGCCUACAUGUAGUAUCUAACACAUGGCCUUGGAUCUUCUAUAAUGGUGUUGUAGAUGAUUAGCUGCCACGUAGGUGUUGAGAUUCUAAUCUUCCUCCUGAACCGGCAAUUGGUCUUAAUUUUAAUUGCUAAACCGUUUCUCUAGCUUGAACCUACUUUCUUAAUCUUGUAAUAAAGAUGGGUUUUGUCUUUUCUUUCUUCAUUUUUGUUUGUUUGUUUUUUUGUUUUUCCAGAACGGGUUUCUCUAUCUAGCUUUAAAGCCUGUCAUAGAACUAGCUCUGUAGACCAGGCCUCUGCCUUUGUCUCCCAAGUGCUGGGAUUAAAGGCAUGCGCCACCACUACCUGGCUACUCUGAUCAUUUUUGCUCUUACAGCUUCAUCAUUUGUUUUCUUACAGCCCCAUGACAGUCUUCAAUAAAAAGAAAACAACACAAUAAGGAACUAUGUUACAGGCACUCUGAGAUGGCUGUAAAUCAGUCCAAUAGGAUAAUGGUUUAGGUGACGUUUUGCCCUGAUUAGUCAUUGCCACCACUUUACAAAUGAUUCUUUUUCCUGCAGGCUGGAAAUUAACCCUAGGGCCUUGGAGCUACUAGAUAAGUGCUUAACCACUGAGCAAUAUUUCCACUCCUGCCUGCCUUAGUAUUUUGACAAUAAUACCUGAUGAGAAAAGUUUAAGGGAGGAAGGAUUUUUAUGGUAUUUUUUCCUUUAUUUAUUUUUGUGUGAACAUAUACAUUACAUGGUACACAUGUGGACUUCGAAAUAGGUUCUCUUCUUCCACCAUACGAGUUGCAAGGAUGGGACUUUAAUGCUCAGGAUUGAUAGCAAGUACUUUUAUGCACUGAGGCAUCUUGCCAGCCCGUGGAAGGAUUUGUUUGGCUUACAGUUUCAGAAAAUAUAGUUCAUCAUAGUGAGGAUAGGUUGAUGCUUCCUGUACCGCUGUGCCAACUUUUGGCUCCUAUUUCUUCCAUCUUGAAGCAGAGGGUCAAGAAGUAGUAAGUCUGGACUGUUUCCUCUAAGAUUUUCUUCCGCUAACCCACUUCAUUUGGGGGAAGGGGAGGGUUUCUCUUGUAGACCAGGCUGGUCUCGACUCACAGAGAUCUGCCUGCCUCUGCUUCUCAAGUGCUGGGAGUAAAGGCGUGUGCCACCACUGCCCGGCCCACUAGCCCACUUCUAGCAGCUUCACUUAUCCAAGAUAUCGUAGACACCGCUAGCACCACCAAAUCAUCCCUGGCUGCGGACCAAGUGUUCAAACACAUGAGCUGGUGGGGGACAUUUUAUCUUAUUAUACAUAAUCUUUUCUUUGGUUAUAGCACUGUCCUAAUAGUUAAGUUUGGAACAUUGCCUUUGAUUUACUAUGUCAAUCCUUACAUUUGACUAUUUCAGAAUUCUGAGGAGUUAAUGCUUCCAUGAAUAUCUCAGAAGGAGACAUGGACAAAGGAACAGGUAUCUCACUCCAAUAGGUAAGUGAUUAUUGACAAUGGGAGAAACAUUUUGCUAGUGUAGUGUCUCAUUCCUGUAAUGCCACCACAUGGGAGACUGAGCCAGGAGGAUCCAGGCAGGGCUGCAUAGUUGCCCACCCCCCAAAUGAAAGGGGACAAAAAAAAGUAACCAACCUUGUUCCCUUUGGCUAUUUUGUGGUAUUUGUUGUAUUCAAGAGCUUUUCUAAGUGAAACCUCCAUAUUUCCCAAAGUUUAUGAAUUCACUUUGUUAAAUUUGCUAUUUUUAAUUUUACUCCUUGUAAUCCAUUAGUCGUUUAUUUCUAGUUUCAAAUUUUUGAUGGGUAAGUCUGACAGUCUUUGUCAUUUCUUGAUGGAAUCAUUAAUGAUAGAUUUUUGCCUGCUUUUUCAAACUAAGAUUGCAAACAUAUUGCAUGCCAUUAAAUAUGUUUUAAUGGCAUCAUUUUAAAACUGGCACACAGUAUCCCACCCUAUGAGAAAGGAAACUAAUUUAUAUUUGCUGUUUAGAAUCAUCUCAGUUAUUGUUCUCUCUUCCUGCUUUUUUUCUUCUGUGCUGGUCAUAGAAUCUAAGACUGUUACAAGAUAGGCAAACAUACUUUCUAAAUAUUCCCCCAGCCCAAGCUGUUCCCUUAAUUAUGUUUAAAUAGAAAAUGCUACAGUUAGCAUCCUUGUAGUUCAGUUAUUAAAUAGCAUGCUUAUUUCCUAAGACUGGAUGAAGUGUACAGUCCCUCUAGUGAAUAUGAAAAUACGCAUUACCACAUUCCACAUUGACACUAGUACACUAUAUUCAGUAUUUUUGUAAAAAAAUUCACCAAUUGCAAGCUGAAUAUAGUGCCUCAUACCUGUAAUCCCAGCAGUUGGGAGGCUGAGGCUGGAACAUCACUGAAAGAUAUAAUUCUGUUCUCCAAAAUACCACAAAAAAAGGAAAGAAAAUUUCUUUUUUGGUGUUUGUGAAAGCAACACAUAAUCUUCUUUAAUGUUGUAGGUUGUAUUUCUUUGAUUGCUAAUGAAAUAAAACAGGGAAAGUGUUUCUUGGCUCUUUGUGUUUUAUUCCUGAUUUUUUGAAAAAAAAAAUUGUUGUUGUUUUUCAAGGCAGGAUAUCUUUGUGUAGUCCUGUCUGUCCUAGAAGUAGCUCUGUCAACCAGGCUGCCCUUGAACACAGGGAUUCACCUGUGUCUGCCUCCCAAAUGCUGGGAAUUAAGUCGUAUGCCACCACUCCCGGCCUCUAUUUUAUUUUAUUUGUAUUAUUUCUUUAUUUUUAAAAUCAUUUUAUUUAUUGUUUAUAUUUCUGAAUGAGUUAGUGAGUGCAGGUACUCACUUGUGUGAAGAGAAAAAAGGACAACUUUACAGAGUUUGUUUUUUCGCUCUUACUGAGGCAGUGUCUCUUGUUUAUGCUGCUUUCUUGUCCUCAUUUUUACUGCUGUACACUCCAGCCUAGUUUGCCUGGGAGCUUCAGGGCAGUUUUACUGUCUGCACUUUCCAUCUCACUUUCAGGGGCUUGUAUUAGAGAUGGGUCCAGUCAAAUCGAACUUUUUACAUGAUUAGUAGUGGCUUUACCCACUGAUCCAUCUCCCUGGCCCUCCUUUAGUUUUGCCGUGCAGGAAAUGGAGCCCAUGGUCUCAAAUAUGUAAGGCAAUUUGAGUUUCUUUUGUUUGGUUAGUUGGUUUUGAUUUUCAAGACAGGUUUUCUCUGUGUAGCUCUGGCUAUCCUGGAGCUGUCUGUAGACCAGACUGUCCAAAAACUCAGAGAUCUGCCUGCUUCUGCCUUCUAAGUGCUGGGAUUGAGGUCUGCUACUAGCAAUUUGAGUUUUUUGUUUUGUUUUGUUUUUUUUAAAGACUUUAUUUAUUAUGUAUACAACAUUCUACUUCUAUGUAUAUCUGCACACCAGAAGAGGGCACCAGAUCUUUUAACGGAUAGUUGAGUCACCAUCUGGUUGCGGGGAAUUGAACUCAGGACCUCUGGAAGAGCAGUCGGUGCUCUUAACUGCUGAGCCAUCUCUCCAGCCCCCGCUAUUUGAGUUUCUUACACUGACUUGCAACUAUGUUUGGUGUUUGAUGGUUUUCUUUUGUGAAUUUGACUUUUAUUGGGGUUUAAGACAUGGGAUGGAAAAUAGCUUGGGAAGUAUCAUAGCCUAGGGUCUCAGGGGUCUCAGUAUGUAUUCCAUGAUAGCCACAAAUUCAUGGCAAUUUUCUUGUCUUAGUCUCCUAAGGGCUGGGAUUAAGGGUUGAGCCACUAAUGUUAGUCCCAUUUUGAAAUUUAUUGUCUCAUGUUUCAGAUUUUUUGUCUGAGCUACCCUACUAAUAUUCAUGGAGCUAUUUCAAGUAUCCUUUUUCUUUGUGACUUAUUACGUGUUUAUUUGGUUUUUUUGUUUGCUUGUUUUUCUUUUUUAUUUGAGACAAUGUUUUGCUACAAAGUCCAAUCCAACCUCAAAUUAAUAAUCCUCCUGCCUUAUCCUUCCAGGUACUAGGAUUACAGGCAUGUGCCACUAAUAAUAUGCCUAAUUUCCUGUAGUUUAUAAUUUAUAAUCCCUUUUUUUUUUAUAAUUUUUGAUGUUUUGAAGUUUUUAAAUGUUACUUUAAUUAUUUGGGAACUUUUAUAUAUUUUGAACCUAUUCACUCUCCUACCUCAAGAAACAGGAUCUUAAAUAGCCCAUGCAGGCCUUAAACUUAUUGUGUAGCCUAGGAUGACCUUGAACUUCUCAUUCCUACUUCUACAUUAGAGGACCAGGAUAGUAUUUUUUUUUAAGUGGUUCUGGGGAUCUAACACAGUGCCUCAUAUGUACCAGGCAAGAGUAUACCAACUUAGCUAUCCCUAGCCUUCACAUAGUUUUUAAUCUUGUCUUCUAUGGUGCUAAAAAGUGAACUACUAAGCUUAUACAUGCUAGUGAAGCAGCAGUCUGCCCUUUGAACUAUAUAUAUUUACCCUCUUUUAUCAUUUUUUUUGAGAUGAAAUCUUAAAAUGAGUUGCCCAGCGGGCUGGAGAGAUGGCUCAGAGCUUGGGAGCUCUGACUGCUCUUCCAGAGGUCCUGAGUUCGAUUCCCAACAACCACAUGGUGGCUCACAACCAUCUGUGAUGAGAUCUGGUGCCCUCUUCUGGUGUGUAAGCAUGCAUGCAGAUAACUGUAUACAUAAUAAACAAAUAAAAUCUUAAAAAAAAAAACAAUGAGUUGCCCAGACUAUUAUUAAACUCCACAAUAGCCCAGGCAAUCUUUGAAUUUGUGAUCUUCCUAAUUUAGCCCCAACCACCCCCUCCCCGUGACAGGAAUUCUAAAUGUGUGCCAUGAUUUGUGACUUAUAUCUGGCAUGUGGUAUAUGAUUUUCUCAUUUAUUGCUUUUAUUUUUAUUAUUACUAUUUGAGUUCGUUUUUUGAAACAGUGUCCCUGUAUAGCUGCCUGUCCUGAAACUUAUUCUGGGAUUAAAGGCAUGUGCCACCACCUCCCAGCUUAAUUUCUUUUUAAGGCAAGUUAUUAAUAUGUAUUAGUGGCUUGCCUACAUAUAGAAGUGUGCACAUCUCAUUGGCGUCUGGUACUUGUGGAGGCCAGAAGAAGGCAUUGGAUUUCAUAUAUGGAUGUGAGCCUUUGUGGGGGUGCUGGGAAUUGACUCAAGUCCUCUGCAAGAGCCAAUAGUGCUAUUACCUUCUGAAGUAUCUCUCCACCCCCCUGUAAUUAGUUUUCUUAAUGUCUAGCACAUUCAGCGCUAGGAGGUGCUCUUACAGGUAUCUGUGAGGAUUUCAGUAGUACUGAAUUUCAGAAUUUUUUCCAGUGUUCUGCUUCUAACGUAAAAUACUAUUCUCCCAGUUCCUCCUCCUCUUGAUUGUCUGCUCAGCUUUGCCACCCCUGGCUUAUGCUCUCAUGGGAAUUUGCAUAUUUUUCAUAUUGGGUAUGAUAAUAGUUUCAUUUUUCUGCGCUUUAUGGGUUCUGCUGUUGUUGCAUGAAAACAAAUGUAGGCAAUGCAUAAACAUGUGAGCCGUAUUUGUGGAGGCUGCGGUUUGCCAAUACCCAUUUUAUUACAUUUUUCUCUUUUAACUUCUGUCUUUGUUUUCAAUGAUCAUGACUCUGAUCUUUUGCUGUACCUUUUAAAGAUUCAUUUAUUUUCUGUGACUGUUUUGCCUGCAUGUAUGUAAGUGUAUCACGUGUGUAUUGCCCAGAGAGGUCAGACACAGAGUGUUAGACACUUAGAACUGGAAUCCUUUGUAAGAACAGAAAGUGCUCCUAACUACUGAGACAUCUCUCCAGCCCUUCCUUUGUAAAAUGUUGGAGGUUUUUUUGCUUGUUUGUUUUGUUUUAAUGGUUUGUUUUCUUUUCUGAGCCUCUGGCUCUUUAGCUGAGACUUGGAACUCACUGUGUAGUUCAGGUUGACCCUGACCUGACAGUGAUUCUUAAGACUCUACCAGAAUUAGAGGUGUUACCAUGCUCAACUACGAUGGAUUUAUCUAUUUAGUUUUUUCCCUCCAGUUUACUAGUGAUGACCUGUUUUCCAUAUCACAGGUUUUUUUCAUUUCAGAGAACACAGGUAUUAAUUAGCUAACCUGUGUCAUUAGUAUCAUGUGAUAUAUGCUGUAAAAGGGAUUCAUUACUUCAAUAUAAUUCUAAGUAGCUGCAUUCCUUUGACCCUAGUUUGGAAGAAACUUGGAGAAGAAAAGUGUUUAUCCAACUUACAUGUCAUAGACUGAACCAAGGCAGGAACCUGGAGGUAGGAAAUGAAGAGACCAUGGAAGAAUGCUAACUGGCUUGUUCCCCUGCUUUGCUCUGCUAUCUUUCUGAUACAGCCCAGGCUCACCUGACUAGCAGUGGCGCCUUAUAAUGGCGUGGUGCCUUCUGUAUCACUCAGCAAUCAAGAAAAUUCUCUCAGAUAUGGCCACAGGCCAAUCUAAUGAAACAAUUCCUCAAUUAAGGUUCCAUCUUCCCAGGGGUGAUCAAAAAUCAAAAUUAGCUACCACCAUUUGUAAGGGUAUUCUUCUCAAUCCACAUUUCAUUGUAAGAACAGUCUUAAGUUCCUAAAACUUGUCUCUAGUGUUGGGUCAUGAAUGUAUCUCUGGUUCUCUGUGUAUGUUACCUUGCUUCUACUGCAGACAGGUUGCUCUCAUACUGUCUUUUUCACCUCCUAUUUCCUUAAGGCUUUUCCUUCAUUCACUUCUCACUUGAGCUUUUGUUAUCCGUAGACAUGGCCUUCUUGCUACCUUCAUCUUCUCUGUAUAUACUAAGAGCUUUUGCUCUUAUUGCUCUCCAGUGUCUUCAGUUGUGCAAUUUGAGUCCUCACGGGUUGUGAUGUUUUCUUGAGACUAUGGGUGUAACAGUUCCUAUAUGUCAGGUCUAGGACCUUUUCUACUAUUGUUAUAUGUGAAUAUCUUAUCUUCCUAUGUAUAAAUCAAACUUGCUUCAUUCUAAAACAAUUCAGUUAAUGUAAGUAUAACCUAUAUUAUUUAAUUGCUUUAAAACCUGAAACGCAACCCAGUCUUGUAGUGGCAUCUUAUCUGGCUGUCUUUGGACCUGUCAGUCUCACAGAUAACUCUGCAACCCUGUUCUCCUAGCAUUUUCUUGCUUUCUCCCUUCUGCUUACUUCCUCAUCCUAUUUACCCUACUGCAGAUGAAUAGUUUAUGCUUAUUUAUAGUGCUUAAGUCAUCUCUUUUCAAAUUGGUUUAUAACUUAAUCUUAAGUCUUUCAUGAUUCUUCCAUGGACUGUAGUAAUUUUUUUUUAAUGUAUCCAUUACUCCAUUAGCUGACUUUUGUUUCUUUGUUUUUUGUCUAUUUUGUUUUUGAGACAUGGCAUCCUGUAACACAAGCUUCCAUCAAAGUUGGUAUUGUACAUAAGGCUAUCCUUCCAAUCCUGAGCCUCAUGUCUCUGUCUCCCAUACCUAACUUGUGUAUUUUUUUUUAUUCAGUGGUACUAGGGAUUGAACCUAGGAUCUCACACAUGCUAGACAAUUAUUCUACCACUGAGCAAUAUUCUAAGUGCCCCCCCCCCCGUAAUUUUAAAUUAUAUAGAAUUUUGUCACUUUGCCCUUGUUUGAGGAAAACUUUCAUGGCAUGACAAGCCUUAGGCUGUUGACCAACUUAUGGUACAUGUCCUAAUGUCCUUCAAUCUGACCCUUUUGGAGGGUGGUAUCUGACCAGUUGUGGGUUUGGAGUACAUAGUUAGACGGAAGAAUGCUUACUUAGCCACACUUGUUUGAUUGUUUUUUGUUAGAAUUUGUGCAUGGGUAGGAGUGAUACUGUUUAUUUAGUUCUAAAGUGAUAUAAAUUUGAUUGAUUACAUGGGUUUAAAAUUUGUUGUGCAGCCGGGUGUUGGUGGCGCACGCCUUUAAUCCGGGAGACAGAGGCAGGCGGAUCUCUGUGAGUUCAAGGCCAGCCUGGUCUGCAGAGCGAGUGCCAGGAUAGGCUCCAAAACUACACAGAGAAACCCUGUCUCGAAAAACCAAAAAAAAACACACACACACACACAAAAAAAAAAAAAAAAAACUUCUUGUGCAGCAAUUUUGAAGUCUAGUGUGCAUAAGUUGUGUCCUAUUUUGUUUUAUUUUAGAUAUGGUAUGACAGGCUAGCCUUAGACUGAUCUAUAGCCCUAUAUAUCCUUAGUCUACUAAGUGCUGGGAUGCUGGCAUAAUACACAUGCAACUGAGCACGACAGUACAAAGGUUCCUCCAUGUUGUAUUCCUGCUGAGGCCAUUCUAGGUUUAAGUAGAAUUUAAUUUCUGUGAUGGAGAACCCCAUGGAAAACUACUCAACUCUAUUCUAGAAACCCAAGGUCAGGAUGUCCUAGGUAAUUGAUCUUGCCUUCUGGCUAAACUGCCUGUUUGUGCACCCUGCCCCCUCCAGGCCCCCUCCAGGUGUCUGCUUAUCUUAGUGACUGUUCAGCUGUGCAUUGCUGGGCAGGAUUCCCUCCUGGUGUCUGCUUAUCUUAGUGACUGUUCAGCUGUGCAUUCCUAUUCAGGACCCCCUCCAGGUGUCUGCUUAUCUUAGUGACUCUUCAGCUGUGCAUUCCUAUUCAGGACCCCCUCCAGGUAUCUGCUUAUCUUGGCCUUGAUUAAACUGCAUACCUAUGCAGGAUCCCCUCCAGGUUACUGCUUAUCUUAGCUUCUGAUAAACUGCCUGCCGGUUCAGACCCCCUCCAGGUAACUGUUUAUCUUAAUGACUGUUAAACUGCAUGACUGCAGGAACCCUGCAGGUAACUGCUUAUCUUAGUAACUAUUAAACUAUGCCUGCCUAUGCAGGACCCCCUCCAGGUACUGCUUACCUUAAUGACUGUUAAACUUCCUGCUUCCUUAACUCUCCCGUGUAGCUGCCCACUGAGAUGUGAGGACAUGGAUUUUGCUUUCAAAAACCUUAUGCUGUGAACACUGUGGGUGGGCUAUUACUGGGUGCCCAAAUACUUGGAUGUAGUCCCAUUAUCCUAGAAUAAAGAAUUCCAAUUCACUAUAAACUGAGUGGUCAUCUUUGGUGGGACAGUGGUAACGAAGGCAUGUUCACCCAGUUUGCUUACUCUGUUCUCCUUUCUCUUCCUCUUUCCUCGCAUGGUAAAAUCUAGAAUUUUAUUUUUUUUAGAUGUUCUUUACAACUAUAAGAAAAGAGUAUAACUUUCCAGUGUGAUGGACUGUGUAGUUGAACCAGUGUAUGACUUGCUCAGUGUCUGUUAUGUAUACUGUAUUCUGCCUGCAUGUAUGCCAGAAGAGGGCACCAUAUCUCAUUACAUACACAUGGUUGUGAGCCACCAUGCUUCUGGAAAUUGAACUCAGGAUCUCUGGAAGUGCAGCCAGUGCUCUUAACCUCUGAACCAUCUGUCUCUUCAGCCCCAAGAGGCUCUUUCUUCUUUCUUUUUCCUCCUUUUCUUCUUUUCUUUCCAUCUUUGUUUUCUCUUUCUCUUUCUAAGGACUCUGUAUAUCCUUGUCUGUCCUGGAAAUCAUGGCAUAACUUCUGCUUGCCUCCACCUUUUUAGUCAUUCUGUUUUCUGAGUGCUGGCAUUAUAGAUGUGUGCCACUAUGCACACCUGUACAAGUAAGACUUCAAAAUUUUUCAGAAAAAAGAGGGUUCUCCAGAAGUUUCUAACCAAUUUCUUAAAUCAUGUUCCCAAUUGGAGGUUAUCCCACUUUAUUUUACUUUAUUUUUUUUGUUUUACGCCAUCACCCACACUGGUCUGAAACUCAGGAGAAUCCACCUGCCUCUUCGUACUGAGUGGAAUUUACAGACAUGAGCCAUUAUGAGCUCUAUUUUCCUUCUUUCUAUUGAUUCCUUGAUAAAACCUCUCUGCUGAGCUCAGCUAGUGACAGGUUUUGGUAGUCCCGCCAUAGGGAGGUAAUAGUGACUGGGAUAACAUGCAGUUACAGGUAUAUUGGUAACUGAAUCUGGUAAUGCCACUUAGAGAUGCCAGAUUGGUCCCGACAGACUAGAAAACUGUGUAUCAGGUAUAUAUGUUCCUGCUGCCCUGUGCUGCUCAUGUAGCUAGCUGAACUACCCUGUCUCUCUGCUUAGUGUUUUUAUUUUAUGCCUCUUACUAGGUUCCAGCUUUCCCAUCCAAUUCUGUUUUUCUCUAGUUCAUGUUUUUGUCUAUCUUUCCUAUUGCUUCUUCUUUCUCUUGUUUUGCUUCCUUAUGCUUUCUAAUUAGUUUAGGCCCUCAUGGCCUCAUCUUUGUGUUGCAUGUUGGCUUGCAAUGCAUCUUUCUCCUUCCCUUUCUGUACUGGUGCCAUUAAAUUACCCUCUUCCAAUUUAGCUUGAUUUACAUGAUGAUGACUCUUUCUUUACUCUGCUUGUUUCUUACGAUUUUGAUUGUGCCGUUAAAAACUGACUUCUCCCAUCCUCUGUUUCAGGGGUUUCAGUUGCAAAUGCCUGCAGGAUCCUGAUGGGGGUACAUGUGUGAGAUGGUUCCUGGUAUUUCAUACUCUUCCCUUUUCUUGAAAAGCUUGUUUUGUUUUGUUUUUCCUUUACUGUUCUUUAAUUUAUCAUAGAGAUUAACGGAUGACAAGGGAUUCGAGAUUCUAAGAGGAUGGGACAGUGUUUCAGACUCCGACCAACCUAAUGUCCAAAAUGCAUCUAAAGGAAGGGCUUAGACUAGUACUAGUGCUGCUGAUAAUUGUCUGGGAAUGUCGAUCCAGGAUUGCCAGAAUUUCUGUCUCUCUACAAGGAAACUUGAGUAGCUUUAAAGUGUUUUUUGCUUUUAGUGCUUCAGGACAAUAGAGUAUGUUUAUAAAUGCCUUAAUAAUCUUACAGCAUCUGUUUCUUUGUAAUUGUAUUAUUGUCAAGUUACUGUAUUCUUAUGUUACAAAAUAAGGGUAUGUAGAAUAAUUUGUGUUCAUUCAGCUUGAGGCCUGGCAGGUUACUAUGGGCAAAGUUCAGAACUGGACCACAAUUUUGAAUUCAUUUGUGUAAAGUAGAAUGAAAUAAUCUAGGACAGAAUAGAUCAUUAUAUGUACAUAACAACAGGAAAACUGUAGUCCCACUUGGUAACUAAGAGUAAAUAUUGUUGUAAAUUUUCUGUUUGCUACCUAUGUUUGUGUAUCUUUGGUUUAAUGUAAUGGUUUUCCUUAUUGGUGGUUAAACUCCUAGAUACUGAAUGAAAUGACAUGAACAUACUAAUCCCUGUAGACAUGUCUCUUUAGCAAUAUAAUAUUUCUUUAAAAUUAAGAGAACAUUCAUUUAAAAAUGAACAUUUUGCGGCUGCAGAAUGGUUUCAUGAUUAAGAGCACAGACUAUUCUUGCUGGGGACCUGAGUAGUUUGGUUCCCAGCACCCAUAUUGGGUGGUUCGCAACUGGCCAUAACUUCAGUUCCAUAGGAUUCAAUGCCUUUGGCAUCCAUAGCUCCCAGCACUCACAUACACAUGCCCAUCUACCCCCACCCCACCCCGCCCUCAAAUGCGUAAUUACAAUAAAAACAUUAAGACUUUUUUGUCUGAAACCUAAGUUGAGAGGGUAUCUCAUGUAGCCCACACUGGUCUUGAAUUUACUCUGUCCUCAAGAUGGCGCUGAACUCUCGUCAUCCUCCUUCCUAUUCCUCCCAAAUUCUGGGAUUAUAUCCAUUUGACAUCAUGCCUGGCAAAAUCUAGGGGUUUUUGUUUUUUAACAUUCUUCAAAAAUAUUAUAAAGUAGGUCUAAAUUUCUGCAGUGAAGAAUUGAGCUUCAACUAAUAUGGUACUUGUACUCUAUCUGAUGCUCUGGGUUUGAAGCAGCCCAAUGUGGGAAUGGGAUGUGAUGGAGCAAGCAAGAAAAUAGAUGUCAUAUGGGCUGUUUCCACCGAGGUGAUUCCCUGGGAGUGCCACUUACAAAGGACAUUUAAUGUUUAUCAUAUUGUAUGCUAAGCUGCUUUAAUUUUUAAUGUUACUCACCCACCUACUUAAGGCUCUUAAAUUUUUCUAUGGUAUGCGGGUGGGUGGUUGUGAGCGUGUAUUUGUGUUUCCAUGCGUGGGUCUAUUGAUUGAUAGAAAUUCUCUUCCUUGGAUUCUUUCUACCUUAUAAUUGAAGUAGGAUCUUGCAGUGAAUCCAGAAACCUCCAAUUUGGCAAGUCUAGGUGUGCAAUCCCCGUUUCUACCUCCUAGGCACUGGAAUUGCAAGUGAACUAUCAUGCCAAUACUAACCAUCAUUCAGCUUUUGGUAGGGAUCCUAACCAAGGCUCUUAAAUUUUACCAGAAUUGCUUUGCCUACUGAGCCAUCUCUUCAGCCCCAACUUGUUAUUGCUUUACUUUUAUUAUUACUUAAUCUGCUUCUGCACUGGCAUGAUAUUUAGAACCUUAACCUUUAGCGAUGCGUCCAAGAAAAAGUCAGAUUACUUAAUGGGCAGUGAGAACUGGCAAAUCUACUCAGGGGAGCUGAUCUUCAUGUCUUUAACCAGGCCUCCCAACAGGGAUUCACUUGUUGUUAGAAAGCCUCUACAGAAGCCACUCACCUUCCCUACCUCCCAGAUCCUCCCGGCUCUCCCGAUGCACCGGCCAUUCUCCAUUUGGUAUUUUCCCUAAGUAGAAGAUUCAUUUCCUUUCAUGCCUCUUAAUUUUUCAUGUCUUUCUGUCAUGCCUCACCCAGAAAUAUUAGCUAAGGGUUUUACUAUUCUAGAAGAGAAUCUUUACAUCUUUGCUAGUAACAAUAGUUGAGCUUAUCUUUAUGCUACCUCAUUCUAAUGGUUUUACCUACUUUUUGCUUCAAUUUCACUAUAAAUCUCUCAUACCUUUUAUUUUGAGAAAACUUGGAUUUUUUUUUACCAUUUUCCUGAUUCUUUAUUUGCUGCUUCAAAUUUUCUGGUGAUGGGAGAAAAAUUUUAUUUACCUCAUCUAUUUCUGGCUAGAUCUUUUCACUUCAGGUUAUAUGAUAUGUUCAGUCUAUUUUCUUUUGACUUGGUGUUGAAAUGUCUUCUUUGGCCUUUGUGCUGAGUAUGAAUUUUGUGCAAUUCAUAUUUCCUUUAAAAAUGCAAAGUACUGUGUUUUGGUGUUUUUGGUUUUUUUUAUGCUGGGGAUAGUGUCAGAGGCCUUUAAUCCCAGUAUGUAAGAGGCAGACAGUAAAUAUUUUUGAGUUCAAGGCCAGCCUGGGCUACAGUAGAGAGACCCUGUAUUGAAAAAAAAGGAAAAAUUGCUGCUAGUGUGUGUGGGUGAUUAAAUAAACUAAGAAAGGACAGUGCUAAUUUUGUAUAUAGUCACCUGCCUCUAAAUGCAUAAAAACCUUGUACACUAGGCUUUCCAAAAUAUUUAUUUGGUAUGUGGGGUAGUUACAAAGGAAAGGUAUAUGACCUCAAUUCAGAAUCAGUGGAAUAUUGGCUGUUACAGGAUAUGGGUUGUCUGGUUUACAAACUGAAAACAUUCUGUAGAAAGCCACAGAAAACAUAGAUAUAUUAAUACUAUUAAACUACAUUCAUAAAAUGGCUAAGAGAGUGAUAGUGUUUUAGGCCAGGCCUGACUACUGCGGUUUUACACCUGGUCAAAUCCUGCUGCCUCACCCCUACCCCCCUAAAAAACCAAAAUAGGAUAAAAGGGAAGGGUGGCGUUUGAUCUAAGUGGCCAUUGAAAGAAGUAAAAAUUGAACUUUGGAUUGAAAUUUUAGCCUGUUCUUUAGGUACUUACAUGAAAAUGGCAGUCAGGUAAUCCAUUUUGGUUAAACUUAUUGGACACCACGUAUAUUUUCCAAUUAACAUAAUAGCAAAGUAUUAUAUUUUAUUAGGCCAUUUUCCCAUGUAUGCCAUUUCCUUUUGAUAAUUCACUGCAUUUGUAAAGAAAUUGGUAAAAAGAAAAAAAAAUCAAUUGGAGGAAAUGGACCUUCAGUUUCGACAAACCAGGGAGAGAAGACUCCUUCUUUCCCUCCCCAUUUUCUGUAGUAGUGAUAUAGUUUUAUGGAAAAAAUAAAAUAUAAAACAAGGGCUCGGGACUUUUAUCCCAGGGAUAAAAGCCCUGGGGUCCAGUGCCUGUCCCCAGAACUGCAUAUGCAUGCUUUGUAAUACCAGCAUUCAGUCAGAUGGGCUUUAAUGCCAGCCUAGUUUACUUAGGGAGGGCAACAAUUAAUAUCCAAGUUCCUAUCUCAACAACACCCCCCCUCAAAAAAGAAGAUAAAACAAAAAUUUUAGGAUGUACAUACAUUGAUUUAAAUUUUGUCAGCUGUCGGACCCCCGUCCUAUGAGGCAAUUUAAUCGUGUCUAGCAUGAGUACUUCAGCCUUUCUCUCCCUCAGCAUGAGAUUCCUAGGACAUUUAAAUUCUUUUGGGGUGCUAAUAGUUUCAAAGUUCAAAGGAGCAGUGUAGAAAUCCUUAGAUAUCUGCAUAACUGUGGUCCCCUGCUAAUACUGAUUUUCUGAUUCUACGGGGUUGCUUUAAAUUUCUUAUCAAGGCCUCAUUGCAUAACAAUCAAUGCUGAAAGGACUAUUGAUUCAUUGUUUGAGUUGCAGCCUAAGGUGAUUUUUGUCAUGGGGUGCUCUAGUUCUCAGGAUAAAGACCCACUCUCAGGAUAAAGACCGGAGACAGACUUUGAGGCACCUUUCAGGGGUCUGGCAGAGGGUAUUAGAAAGGCUGACAAUGAAAUUCCUUAGUCUUAUCUCUGUACCUUUCAGGCUUGAAGAUAAGAAAAGUCAGGCCGCUCCAGGUUUUAGAUAGGCGCCAAUGAUUAUCACCAACUGUCUAUCUAAUGCAAAAGAAAAUAGAAAGUAAAGGCAAAAUUUUAACCUUCUCUCCUGUUUGUGGUGACCUUCUGGACCAAGGUAAAGAUAAAAGACAUUCCUUUUAGCAAAAGAAAUUCUAAGUACUUGUUAUCAAAAAACAAUGUAUGGUAUUUCAUUAAAUAGAAUCAAUAUAUUAAAAGGUAUUAUGUUCUUGGUUCAAUAUAGACAGACAGUCAGACAAAUAAAUACAUUUUUUUGAAAAAUAAAAGGCACAUGACCACCUUUUUAGUCCGACCAUUUUUAAAAAUUAUUAUUUUUAUUUACAUUGGUGUUUUGCCUGCAUGUUUGUCUGUAUGAGGCUGUCAGAUCUUGGAGUUAUAGACAGUUGGAGGUUCCAUGUGAUUGCUAGGUCUUCUAGGAGAGCAGCAAGUGCUCUUAACCAGCCCUAGUCUGCCAGUUCUGAGUAUCUGGGUUCAACUAUCUGAUUUGCGACAUGUUUAUUUAUUUUAUGAAAUCUGUUGGUAAAGACUAAUAUUUCCAUUUUAUUGCCUGACAAAGCAUACUAUUAUAUUUCAUAACACAUAAUAAUUAGAAAUUCACAUUUCAGUUUAAAAAGUUUUACUGGAACUUAGCCACAUUUACUCAUACAUUGUACACACUGUGGUGCUCUUUGGCUGCUAUAUAUGAGUAACCAAGACCACAGAGACUAAAGGACUGCUGGUGAUUGAGCUGCCAUGUCUCUCUCUCUCUACAUUGUUUUUAGUAGCUUUAAAUGGCAGAUUAGAGACAUUGUUACAAGCAAAUAGGAACUGUCCUCAUCCUGCUAUAUUGACAGCCAAGGACACUAUUUCUUUCCUCUCAAUUGUUCACCGUAGGCUGACAGGCCCUAGCCUUCUUUUGCUCGCUUUAGAUAAAAGCCUCUACAAUUUUUUAACCCUAGAUGCUUAUGGGUUCUCCUUUGCUGCAAAUUCCAGUCUGACGAUCCAUUCUUUUUUUUUGGAGGGGUGGGGUUCGAGGCAGGGUUUCUCUGUGGCUUUGGAGCCUGUCCUGGAACUAGCUCUUGUACACCAGGCUGGUCUCAACCUCACAGGGAUCCGCCUGCCUCUGCCUCCCUAGUCCUGGGAUUGCUGGGAUUAAAGGCAUGCACCACCACCGCCUGGCAUUCUUCAUGGUUUUCAAUUUCCUACUUCAACAUUUUAGUAUAAUCCUCUACCAACUACCCACCCCAAUACAUGAAUGGUAGGUAAGAUAGGCUUAAUUGUGAACUAUUACAAACUAAGCUUAUUGAUUGGAUUCAUUGUUCUUUGAUAUGUGUUUCAUAAUUUGGUCUUAUUUAAUUUUUAAGCUUUUGUAAUGUGUUGGUUUUUAAAGACAGGAUCUGACACUAAUGCAGGAUAGCUUAUGUUUGCCUAUAUACUACCUGAAGUCUUUGGGCCUAUCCCUCUCUGGUAGUUGGAAUACAUUCAUUAGCUGCUACACCUAGCAGUGUUUAAUUUUCAGAGAUCCCUUGUUGGAUGCCUGAGGUUUUCUCCCAUUCUGUUGUUGACUGUGUCCUUUGCUGUGUAGAAGAUGCCUUUUUAGAUUUAAUUUUUUUUUUUAGUAAAAAAAAAGUUGUAUUUACUUAGAAGCAUUCAGAAUGUCAACAAAACAGCUGCAAUUUUUUUUUUUUUUUUUUGCAAUUACAGUGUGGUAUUCAGUAAAAAGAACGAUUGUCUUCAUAUAAGCUGCAUCAGAGACAACUGAAGAUGGAAAAAAACAAACCAAAACCAAAACAAAAAAAAAAAAAUUACCAUCCCCAUAUAUAACUAAUUUCCAUCCCAAUUUACAACCCCCAGACACUGUACCAGGCAAAGUUAGUGGCUAUUGAAAAUACCACCAGGACAGGGCUAUCUAAAGACACAUCCCCUAGUGUGUUAACUAUACAAAAAAAAAAAAAAUGAACUGUACAGUUUAAAAACAAAUUUUACACAGCCUUACAUUUCAAUUUUUUUCUUUAAAAGGAGUGAGUUGUGUACACGGGGGUUAAAUGCUUUAUAUACCCCCCCAAAAAAACUGCGCUAGAACCAAUUGAUUCAUCAUCGUUGUCUUCAUUUUCAUCUUCCUUUUCUUCCUCCUCUUCCUCAUCUUUAUGCUCCUCCUCACCUUCCUCUUCCUUCUUUUUCUUGCUCUUUUCUGCCUAACCACCCCCUUUUUCGCUGCAUCGGGUUUUCCUUUAGCUCUGUAAGCAGCAAUACCCUUUUCGUGCUUCUCCUUCAGCUUGGCAGCCUUCUUUUCAUAGGGUUUCUUUGUCAUCUGCAGCAGUGUUGUUCCACAUCUCUCCCCGUUUCUUUGCAGCAUCACCAAUGGACAAGCCUGGGUGUUCUCCUUUGAUUUUGGGGCGAUACUCAGAACACAAGAAGAAGGCCGAAGGAGGCCUCUUGGGUGCCUUGGGGUCCUUGAACUUCUUUUUGGUUUCCCCUUUUGGGGGGAAUGUAGGUUUUCAUUUCUCUUUCAUAACGAGCCUUGUCAGCUUUUGCCAUGUCCUCAAAUUUCCCCUUUUCUUCAGCAGACACGGUCUUCCAACUUUCUGAGCACUUCUUUGAGAGCUCUGAGAAGUUGACUGAAGCAUUCGGUGCUUCUUGUGUUCCUCCCGGCAAGUUUGCACAAAGACUGCAUAUGAGGAUAUUGUGCCUCUCUGUUUCUUAGGAUCUCCUUUGCUCAUGUUUAGUUAGUUGAUUUUCAUGCGCAAGGCACAAAGUCGCCCAGUGCCCAUCUGUAUUUUGUUAGUUUUCUUUCUUUCUUGGAGUAUUGGGUCCUCUUUUUACUUUUUAUUUUGAGGCAGAAUCUCAAUUCUGCUCUGGAACCUCCUGAUGGUCUUAAAUUUGAGAUUCUUCUGCUCCUUAGUAGUUGUGAUUAAAAAGCUCUAUCAGCCCAGGGUUGGCUUGUUUGCUUUUUUUCUCUCACGAUCGAUCUCCCUAUUCGCCAGACUGACACAGUGACCUGGAGCUUUCAUCCUUUUGCCUCAGCAUCCCUAAGGCUGGGAUUCCAGAUAUGUGCUACCACACCUGCUUUACCUUCUUACAAUUUUCCUUUCGGGAAAUCAGAAAUUUGUGUUUCUUUGCUGUGUUUUAGAAACAGAGUCUAAUGUUAAAAUAAUCUGUCUUUUCCUUUUACUGAUAAUAUAGCCACAGAUCACCUUGAACUCUUGGCUUUGAAAAGUUUUUAAUGAUUUCUUCUACAUUGCCAUCCUAGGAAAUAUUUUUGUUGUUUCUAGUCAGGGUUUUCCUAUAUACUCCUGACUCAACUUGAAUUUACAGGCCUGAUACAGUAGUUCUGCUCCAGCCUGAAUGCUGAGGUAAUAAGCAUACACUACCAUGUCCUGUUCCAAAAUAUUGUGCAGAGUUAUUUCUUAGCUAUUUUCCUAAGACAUUUCCUUCAUUAGGUGUUGGAGACAUGGCUCAGCAGUGAAGAGCACUGACUGCUCUUCCAGAUGACCCAGGUUCAAUUCUCAGCACCCAUAUGGCAGCGCAGAACUAUAUAUAAGUCUGUCUCCUGGGAAUCUGGGAACCUUACAUACAUGCAGUCGAAACACCAAUGCACAUAAAAUAAAAGUAAUUUUUAAAAGACAUUUCCUUUAUCUAGGGAUAUUGUUGACAGUACAACACUUGCCUGCAAUAUUUGAAAUCUUGGGUCAGAUUUCUAGUAAUGUUUCCUUAGUAAAGCGUCAGUUUGACUACUUAAUCUGCCAUUUAGUAGUAUAUCAUGAAAACAAUUUUCUAAAUUGUUACACCCUAUGUAGCCCUGACUUUCCUGGAACUCUGUAGACCAUGCUGGUCUUGAACUCAGAGAUCCACUAUAAAAUUUAUUUCCACUUCCUUUUUCUUCCUAUUCUGCCAAAAUUUUCCUGAUGGUGUAUAUUUAAUUUCUUAAAGAUACUCCCUAUUGGUGAGGAUUAUAAAGUUAAAUUAAUGUGUUGAUUUUUACAAAUUUGACAAAAAUUUAGGAAUUUUAUUUAUUUUAUUUUAUUUAUUUAUUUAUUUAUUUAUUUUUGGUUUUUUGAGACAGGGUUUCUCUGUGUAGCUUUGGAGCCUAUCCUGGCACUCGCUCUGGAGACCAGGAUGGCCGAACUCACAGAAAUCUGCCUGCCUCUGCCUUCCGAGUGCUGGGAUUAAAGGUGUGCACUACCAACGCCCAGCAUAUUUUGUGGAGUUUUGUUGUUGUUUGCUUUUGUUUGUUUUUUUUUGUCUUUUCUUUUGUUGUUUCUCUGUGUAGCUCUGGUAAUGUAAGAGUAAACUAUGGUCAAAGCAUGCUACCUAUGCUCUUCUACUAUUUCACGUCCCUAGCCUUUAGAAAGUGAAUGCUAAUACGUCUCUUUCUGGUAGUAUUGCUUUCAAAUAUCCCAGAGUGAAUGACAGUUUCAUUUUCAGUUGUGGAAAAUUUGGAAAUAAUAGCGUGGUCCAUUGGCUCUUCUAGAUGGAUUUUAGUAAAAAGGGAAUAGAAGUUUAUAACACAUGGUAUUCAGUCUUUUUGCAGUAUUUCUCUAGUAAGAACCUGAAUAUGCUCCCAAAGAUGGACAGACACAACAAAACCUCAUGAGGACUUCUAGCUGACCACAAAUCCUAUCACUUUAUCAUGGUUUAAGGGAACCUGCCUUUCUGAGUUGAAGUCCUUUGGCCAAGUAUUUGACCCUGCUCAACUGGAUUAUUUGUAUGGGGUGGAGACAAAGGCAUGACUACACCUUGGUGUAAAUGCCAUUCUUUUGACUAAGAGAUAAUAGCCUUCUUUUUUUUUUUUUUUUUUUUUGGUAAUUGCCUUCUUUUAAUAUGCCUUUAAUCCUACUGUAAAGUUACUACUAUUAUUUUCUUUUCUUUUUUUUUUUUUCAAGACAGGGUUUCUCUGUGGCUUUGGAGGCUGUCCUGGAACUAGCUCUUGUAGACCAGGCUGGUCUCGAACUCACAGAGAUCCCCCUGCCUCUGCCUCCCGACUGCUGGGAUUAAAGGCAUGCGCCACCAACGCCCGGCCCCACUACUAUUAUUUCAUUAUGUUUUAUUAGCUAAGUCAUCAAACUAGUGAAGUGCCGAAUUUGGACAGAGUAAUUACUGGUAACAAUAGAUGCAGUUUCGGAAACUAAGCCUGCCAUGCUGUUUUAUAAUGUUGUCUUUGUAAUUUCAAAAAUAGUCUUAAUGUUUUUGGUAUUUCUUCCCAUGAUCAAUCUGUCUUAGUAACAUACAACUACUCUUCCACCUGAGUUAUUUUCCAUGGUACUAUAAUACUGGUUUCCAAAUAGAACUCCUUUUUGAAGGGGGUCAGUCAUUGCUGGAGAACAGUUUGUUUACUUAAUACACUUACUUUUUGUGUGUUUGUGUUGCAUAGGUGUUAGAGGCUAAAUUAGUGGGUCAAUUCUUUUCAGCAUGUGGAUCCUAUGGAUCAAACUUGGCAGCCCGCACAUUUACCUACUGAACAAUCUUAUCAGCUCAGUUUACUUAUUUAACAAAUAUGAAAACCCCCCAACUUAAGAGUUCAGCAUCUCUGUCCAGCCUGGUGCUACAAUUGUCAUGAGCAAGAAAACCUGAUCUCCUGUUUUUGGCUAGAUCACCUCCCACUUUUCCCUUGUUAAGAAACUAGAGAAGGACUCUUUGGCAUAGCUGUAGUUUUCACUCAUCUCUGCGAGGUAAGAACCAAGAGUUGUUCAUUAAAAUGCUAUUGUCUGUUUUUCCCUUUUAAAUUAGUGGAGUUCUAUGUAUUAUGAAUGACAGGGUUUGAGAUUGGACAUGAAAAUAGGUGGUCUAAGAAAACCUUUAACUUUCUCUGUACACAAGAGAGAUUCAAAAAAGAACUUGUGGGCAUUAACCUUAAGGAUGUUAAUGAAAAGAUUUGUAACAGAGAGUCAGCAAUACUUCUCUUGAUAUGGGGAGGAGGAAUGAGCCUGAAUAUAGUAGUGUCCUUUUCUUGUCUUCCAUGUACUCACAUAAAGUUUGUGAUAAUACCAAGAAACAUAAGUUAAUGCUAACUGGAAUGAAUUGUAUUUCUUAUACAAUGAUCAAUUAUGUCGUUUGAAAUCAGGUGCUUAGUCAUACUUUUUUUUAUGACCCUGAAUGCUUCCAUUACACUUACUCAACUACCACCAUCAUCACUUUACAAUUCAGAAGUAAUAAUGGUAGGAUAGAAGAAUAGAACUGAUGCUUCCAAGUUGUCCUUUCCUGCAGGUCGUUGUCGCAUGUGUGCACCUACAUUCACACAUCACAUAGUCAGAUAAAAUGUUAAUAAUAAUUUUAAAAAUAUAGUGCCAUUAUGCUUAAUAGUAAAUGCUUAUUACCUAUGCAUUCAAGUGAUGAAUGAAAAGCAGUGGGGACCUAAAAAGUCUUUUGUUUUGGAAGGGAUAAGUAUAAACGAAGAUACCGAAUACUGGUAACUAAGGAGUUUGUGGUUUGAGGUAUUAAUGCCAUGGAAACAUUAACAUAGGAACAAUAUCCUGGUGGAGCAACUUCCCCGAGGAUUUUUUAACUUUUUGGUCCCAACAUCACAGGUAGACAUAACAGUAUCUCUGAAGAGAAAUUGAGCUCUUAGGGCAUUGGAAGGAGCUUCUUUUUUGAAGAUGUUGGCAGAACUUCCACAUGAGCUACUCUGGAACUAGCAAAUUUUCCAGCUUAGAACUAACAGAGUAUGUCCUUGUAAACUGCCAGUCAGUACCUGUAAGAGGAGGCUUCAACAGGGGUGAACUACUUUAUAGAAGGUUCAAGAGUGUAAAUACAUUUUCCCCUGUCUUUUACAGUGUGGGUAGGAUUUCUAUAUUUAUUUCUCCACUUGUCUGCCUCAGUAAUGUCAAAGUGCCUCUUGUGUGACAUAGACAAGUUUCCCAUUGUUCUUUGCCUUGAAAUAAAUCUCAUAAUGUAGGACAUAGUUUUAAUAUAUCUCUCCUAGGUCUCUCAUAGAUCCUAGCCCUAAGAUGCUUCCAAGUGAAGUUCUUGAAAUUAUACCUAAAAAGCAAUCAGAAUUGUGCCAUAAUAUAUGUAAUUUGACUAAGGCUAAGUAAUCAGUCAUAGUAGGUCAUUUUAUCACAAAUGCAAAUUCGUCCUUAAAGUUUUGGGAUUCCUCGCAGUCACUCCCUAUCUUCUAGGAAUUUGCUAUCUACGCAAGUUCAGAUACAAUUCUGUCUGAUAUGCAGUAUCUCCGCACAUUGGUCAAAUGAUACCUUUACCUCUUGGUCAAAUGAUAAUCUCAAGGCCUUUUUAUCAUAAUCAAAUGAUAAACUCAAGGCUUUUUGUUUGUUUGUUUGUUUUUUCGAGACAGGGUUUCUCUGUAUUGCUUUGGAGCCUAUCCUGGCACUCUCGAUGGAGACCAGGCUGGCCUUGAACUGACAGAGAUCUGCCUGCCUCUGCCUCCUGCAUGCUGGGAUUAAAGGCGUGUGCCACCAAUGCCCGUCAAGGCCUUUUCAUCAUGUUCAAAUGACCAAGUAGACCUUAAUAAUAGCACUAAAAGGUGCAUUCUUGGCUUUUUUAUUGUGUAAGGUGACCUGAGGAUGUAUUGACUCAUUGUCAAGCUUUGGACAUAUGGUAAAAUUGGCUGAGAUCCAACGUUGGUGGACAGUGGUUAUUUCAUGCUUUUAUGUGUAAUGGAUAUGGGGUAUCACUUCCUAUGUGGCUACUUCCUGCUGGUGGAAGGAUUAUCAUAUGAAGUUUUAGGGGCUCUAGAAUCAUAAAGGAAGCCAUGGCCUCCACACAAGCAUACAUGUCCAUAUGUGCAAAAAACACAUACACCAAAGAGAAAACUUUUUUCUCAUUUCUGUUUAUUCAUUAAGUUACUAUAAGAUUUUCUGAUGUAUGACCAACAUGUUUUGUCUAAUUAGUCCAGCAAGUUGUGUAUGUUACCCAGCAUAAAUUUUUGUUUUUAUGUUUUAUGUGGGUUUUUUGUUUAGUUUUGUUUUUAGGACACUUGAUCUAAAACAGGCAUGUUAUUUCUCUGGAGGCUUUCAUUUUGUUUUAUUGUAUUUUCAGACUGUCUCACUUUAUAGUCCACUGUUUCUAGAGAAAUGUGUGAAGUCUCCAAAUUUGUUUUCAAUGGGUUUAUUAGGGGAAACAGACUAAAAAAUAGGAAGUGUUUUUUUGGUUUUUCAAGUCAGGGUUUCUCUGUAUGUUUGUGGCGUGUCCUAGAACUCUGUGUAGACCAGGGUAGCCUCAGACACAGAGAGAUCCUCUGCUUUUGUCUCCCGAGUGUUGGGGUUAAAGGCAUGAGCCACCAUGCCCCGCUAAAUUUGCUACUGAAAAAUAUGAAGUAUAAAAGGCGGGGAAUUGUGGCUCAAUCCUUUAAUCCUAGCACUCAGGAGGCAGAGGCAGGAAUUCAUGGAUAGCGUGGUCUACAGAGAGCAUUCCAGAACAGCCCUGCAGAGAAACCAUAUCUUGGAAUAAUAAAAGCAAACAGCCAAACAAAAAAAUCCAAUUCAAGCCACUAAAAGCAGCCAGCUAGACUUUCCAAUAGAGAGUCCCAGGAAGAGCAUUGUAUCAAAUCGCGUAUUCAAACAAAUGAGAAGUUUGAGACUUAGUUGAGUUCCCACUGAGGUUUCUCUCCAUGCCUAAAUUUCCACUACAGACAACCCCCCCCCCCGACCCGAGACAGGGUGAUUUGGCAGUAGCAUUUCUCUCCUCAUUUUGUGCCAGGAUUGAUGUGGCUGAUGGGCAGGUAUCUUCUUCCUCUCUUACCGCUCUUAUUAUCCCUCCAGAAGCGACGCGGUCGCGCUCAGGCACUACGUGAUCGUGCUCGGUCACUACGUGAUCGCGCUCGGUCACUACGUGAUCGCGCUCGGUCACUACGUGAUCGCGCUCGGUCACUACGUGAUCGCACUCGGUCACUAUGCGGUCGCGCUCGGUCACUAUGCGGUUGCGCUCGGUCAAAGAGGACUACCUUUCCCCGAAUAAAGGAGGAUCGUACCGGUCUUCGGUCAUAGGGGACGACUGUAACACCGGUCUUCUGUUAAGGGUAUCCUGAGUAGCUGCAGCCAUGGCGUUCUUUAUGUGUGUUUGUCCCGCUGGAACCUGCAAACAAGCUUCCAAGGUCCACUGCAUACUGUCUCAUGGGUUAAACACUAUUAGCUGUUUGUAGGGGUAGAAUGAUUUUAGUUUUGUCUUUUAUUGUGCAGAGAAUUAGCGGGAUAGCCCAUCAGUAGGUCUUGUAGUCCACUGUAAAAAGUCUCUUUUUUUUGUCCCUCUAGCCAGCUCCCAAAUAAUGACCUUAUGUUAGGCUUUUUUUUUUUUUUUUCAAUUAUCUCUCGUAAGUUGAAUUAGCGUGUCUGUAGUCUACAUUUUGCCACAUGGCUCGGUUACCUUGGUACUCUACCUAUGUCCAAAUUCUUCACAGUCUUACUGGUGUCUCUUUACUGUCCAUUCUUCUGUGUCUGGCUGGUGAUCCAACCUUUCUUUCAGAGUCUUGUCUGUCCUUGGUGAUCCUACCUAAACUUUAUUAAAUGCAUCAGAAGGCUCCUCGGGAAAGAAACUUCACAAUAUAAAUAAAUAUUCCGAGAUACUUUGAGACAACAUACUUAUUUCUGUAGCAUGGGGGAGGAGGACCACAACCCCUCUUUCCUUGGCCUUUGUGAUCUCAAACAACGCUUGGUAAUUUACUCGUAAAAUGUACCUACCAUCAAGGCUGGGUUAAACUUAAGAUUCUCCUUGGUCAGUUUAACCAGUGCUGGGAAUACAAGAAAGUGGCUACUGAUUUCAUUUACUUCAUCUUGUAUCCUGCCACUUUCCUGAAGGUGUUUAUCAGCUGUAAGAGUUCCCUGGUAGAGUUUUUUGGGUCACUUAUGUAAAUUAUCAUAUCAUCUGCAAAUAGUGAGAGUUUGACUUCUUCCUUUCCUAUGUGUAUCUCCUGGAUUUCCUUUUGUUGUCUUAUUGCUGUAGCUAGGACUUUAAGUAUAGUAUUGAAAAGAUAUGGAAAGAGUCGGCAGCCUUGUCUUAUGCUGAUUUUAGAGGAAUCCUUUGAGUUAUAUUGGCUGUUGGUAUACUGUAUAUUUUUUUUAAAUUCCUUUUAGGUGUGUUCCUAUUAUCCCUGGUCUCUCUAAGACCUUUAUCAUGGGGGGGGGGGAUUCAAAGGCUUUUUCCGAAUCUAGUGAGAGGAUUAUCCUUCUGCUGUCUUUUAAGGAUAGAAAGGCUUCUAUUUCAGCCUGAGAACACUGAGAAGAAAUGGUUUUUAAUGAUAAGUGGCUUUAUUUGGUGCGGAGGUGCUCUUUAAGGGUCUUUCUUACCCUCUCCCUACCUUUGUGUCUUUCUGUCCCCUUCUCCUGAUUCCUCUCAGACUGACUCUUCUCUGUUAGUCCUCUUUGCAAUGUUAAGCUAAACGUAUUUCUAUACAAUUUUAAUUCAAUUAUUGGCAUUUUUUUGGUACCCUGAGUCAAGAAUAUUGAAUAAUUCUCUCCUAUAUCUUCGGUUGUUUUGCUCGUGCACUUGCGGUUUUGAAUUAGGCACAGUUCUUGCCUUCUCUGAGGAUACCAGAAAUCCUGGUAAACCAUGACUAUGCAUUGAACCAUAAAAGGUUAACUCGUUAGUCAUUGGGAGUUUGGGGGUGGGAUAUCUACAGGGACAGUGAGAUGGAUUACUGGAGAGUUUUAGAAGCAUAUAAUAGGUAAGGGUUUUUGUUAAGCAUGGACUUUAUUAUGAAUUGCCAGACAGGGAUGCUUCUGAUGAUUCUUGUGGCAGUGACAAAUAGUCAAAAGCAAAAAUUGUGGGAGUUGAUAAAUAGUGUUAGCUAGAGGCAACUUAUAGGAAAAUUAGAGGAGGGAAGCAAGAAGAAGACUGAUUUUCAGUGCGCUAUUGAAAUAACAGCAUAGCAUAUGUUCCUGGUCACUCUCAUCUUAUCCGCUCUGCUUUCACUGUCAGUGUUUUUGCAGACCUGUAUAUUUGCUCUAAAUGAAAUGUGAAGGAUGUUGAAGGAAUAAAUAUUCUGUUAUUGGAGCCAUUGCUUCACUUAGAUACUUGAAAUGUUCAUUGCUUCACUUUCAAACAACAAAUAUAUACCGUAAUUGGAAAUAUCCUGUGUUGACUUUCUUCUCAAAGCCUGGCAUAUAGUCCUAUUCAUAUAAUCCCAGCAUUGGAGCUGCUUACACAGGAAGAUCAUCUUGAAUAGAGGCCAGCCUGGGUUUCAUAACAGUACCUUGUCUCAAACAAACAAAAACACCAUAAACAUGUUUCUACUAAAGAAUCUUAGUAUUGCCCUUUAGGAUUCAAAUAAUGGCUUUCUGACCAGGGCAAUUAUAUUUGAGUAGAUUGCCUUUUUUAAGAAGGCCUAUAUUAAACACUAACUUGUAGUACUUCAAAGGAACUUACUGGGGAGAAAGCCUAGAGCUGCACAGGAAAACAGUGAUUCUAGGGUUUGGGCCAUGUCAUUAGCUAGCCUAUCCUUAAACUGCUUCCUUAGUUCCUGAUGUAGUUUAUUAUUUUGUUUGUUUGUUUGUUUUCCCCAGUAGUUAGGAUUCAGUAGAAUAUAAGACCAUAUUGAAAUAAUUUUUUCAAGACUGUAGAACAGGGCAGGAAUAUACGUAAAGUGUAUCAGCUAUGGUUACUGUUAAUAAUGGUGUUGACCAUGACAUGGUUUAAAAGAAGAGAGAUAACAAGCAUUAUAGCAGGGAAACUGUUUUUCCAUGACACACUACUGUGGAGGCUCGUCAGAUAUUUUAUUCUGCUAGGACUGUUAGAGAUUAGACUAUUCCUUGACCCAUAUUGAUUAGUAACCUUUGUUCUAAGUUAAAGGUUGUGGAGAAGUUUCAUUACACAUGAAGAAAGGUUUUUGUCACAGCAGAACUGAAAUGUAAUUCUAUUCUACCUGUUUAGUAGCUAUGUUGUUUAAUGCCUCUACCCCACACACCGAACCUUGGUCUUACCAUACCAUGCUUAAUUUUCAGGGUUUCCAUGAAGAGAUAUGUAAAGUAUAUCAAAGGUAUUCUAUAAAGUAAAGCUUUAAUCGUUAGUUCUUGGGACACUCAACGCAUGAGAGAAAGAAACAACAGCACACCUUGGUGCUCAGGAGGACUUCAUGGAUCCAGCAGCAACCUGGAGUGGUGCUCCUCUGAAGAAAUCCUACUCGGAUGGAUAUAAUACAACCUGCUAAGUGUUCUAGCACUUAUCAGGUUGUAUUAUCAUUGUCCGUGUUUAUGGCUCUCGUCUCUCAGACUAAAUUCUUAAGGGCAAGGACUGUGCCUUACUCAUCUUUGCAUUCCCAGUGCCUAAUCCGGUGCACAUUGUAGGCCUCAUUAAAUGUUUGUUGAAUGAAAAAAUGAAUCAUCAACAGAUAUUAAUUGGGCGCCUGCUCUGUCAUCUCCAUGGGCUCAGCUUGUUCCUGCCAGUUGCCUACAGCAUCCAAGGUCUCUUCAAUGUACUUACUUCUGAAGCUUAAGCCUGUCUUCUCAGUUCUAUGUAGUGUGGACCAUUUUAAAAUGACUGAUGUGUUUGUGUUUUAUAAUCUAUGUUGAGGGUGUAAAAGGGAGUACCUUAAAUGUUGUAUUUGAUAAUGUGUUUUCUAUGUAAUAUUGCACUUAUAUUUCUGUGUUUUGCAAUUGCCUGUUUUUAGAUGUUGCACGGUUGCUGUUGUUACUAUAAUUGCUACCAUUUACUCCCUAGGUUGGACCACAGUGAUCUUUGAUUAAAAGUUUCAUCAUUUCAAUCUGGGGUCUGCUGUUAUGGUUGGUAUUCAGUUUUUCUUUUUCAUCUUUGUCCAGCUCUCCACAUUCCUGUAUACCAAAUACCAAGCUCAUAUUUCCUUUUUCUUAUGUUGUGUAUGAAAUCUCUAUUAUCCAGUGAGAAAUCUUUCUGUUAUCAGGGUCCUACAGUAAGUCAUAUAAUCACCUUUUUAAUAUGGGAGGAAAUUAAGUAUGUUUGCAGACCUUGGAGAAAGACAAUCCACAUUAUAGAUGCAUAUAAUGGUUAGAGGGUAUUGGGAUGAGGAACAGGUCUCUUAUGGCACAAAUCCUAAACAGUUGACAGGAAAGUAUAGGGCACUAGUCUAGCAACCAUUGAAAAAAAUAUACUGCUUUUGAUGCUUUGUCACAAGUACCAUUUGCUUGCCCUAGUUAAGGAGAGGGCAGCGAGCAAGCAUCCGAGGUCAGGAGUAGACUGUCUAAGAAGUAUUAGUAUGAACAACAUUUGUGUUUUUAAGUUUUAUUUCUUUUUAUUUGAAAAAAGAUCUAGCUCAUUAGUCUGUAAUUCCCCAGAUAUUUUAAGCAAAUCCCAAACUUGAGAAAUUCUGCUUCUGCCUCUCAAUUUAUAUGACAUGGCCCACCAAACAUGUCGAAAAAAGGGAUGCUGAGUGCUGGGGACAUAGGUCAGUGGUAGAGUAUUUACCUACCAAAACAUGUAUGGGUCAAUCUGCAGUAUGGGGAGGAGUAUGUAUGUGGUAUUUUAGAAGUGCAUGCAUUCAUUAAUUAGUUUCAUGCAACCCGCCACCAAUAAAAGGCAUUCUUGGAUCAGGAAAUUUCCAAUUUUUUGGCUCAAGUGGUAGCAUUUCCCUUUGCUGUUGAAGACAGAAAUGGCAUUAAGGAUUUAGAAGGUAAAACACACAAGAAAGUCUUAUGAACUAACAGUUCAAGCAGACUUUCUCCUGUAUCUUUUUGGGCAGCUUUGGUGUGUAGCCCAAUUUGUCUUAACACGACUUUCCUCCUGCCUCUAUGACUGUUUUGGUCACAGGGUUUCUGUGUUCCUGCCUCUCCUGGAACAGGUCAGGUGUGUUCAGAUUGUUCUUUUGAAUGCUGUUUUCUAAGUAUAGAAUACAUGGCUUUUCUUAUAUUCUUCAAUCUUCUCAGUAUUUUAACGAAGAUUUAAUAAUCACUGUUCUCAUGGCUACUCCUUCAGGGACCAGGUUUGCUUUGUAUUUACCCCUCAGGUUAAGUUAGACAAGGGGAAAAGAUGGCACAGCAACAGGGUUGCCCAAAGUUAAGAUCCUCACCAGUAAACAAGUGGCAUUUUUCAGUUACACGUUAACCCCUUCUCUUGGUUUGUGUUAGUCUGAUAACACUCACUUGAUGUCAUUUUGGAAGCUGGAGAAGCUAUACCCAAGAAUAAACAACGGCCUUAGUAGUCCCUCUAGUUUGGAUUGGUCAAUAGGUACUAAAAUUGUUUAGACAAAUAGUAUGCAUUAGGAGUCAUGGUUAACACUCUCAUGAGUGUGGUUGGGACAGGACAUAAGUGUGGAAAGUAUUAUGACUUUCAAGUACUUUCCCAGUGAAUUCCCAGGAUACCCCUUGAUCUUGCCUUCUCUUUCUUGUCUUGUGUCCUAAUACAGCUUUUGUUCUUAGUAACACCUCUCUCUUUUUCCCCACCCAGAUGUGUUUCAGCAAUUUCUCUUCCUCACACUGCUCAGAACUGGAUGUGUGAAAAGCUGCAUUGUGAAUAAAAACUCAGUGUGUGUUGGGAGUAGAGUCCUUGUUGCUAUCUGGAUGUAACAACAGCAGUGACACACAAAGCCAAUGCAGAGGAAGGUGUUGCUCAUCAAUGGGUCCAGUACCUGAGGAACAAGAGAACCAACAGGAAGUGGACAGCAGUGUGACCUUUUGAGAGAAGACUUGAGCAAAAAGGUAUGGCAUUUUAAUAAUGGCAUCCCCUUUCAAAGAGAUUCUCCUCACCAACUAAGCAUAUAGAAGGAAUGCCCCUGGAGACUGCUGGAGAGGUUGGCCUGCUACAGAAAUGGAAAACGCCUGUCCAGCGCCCCUAGGCUCUGCAGUGUGCCAGGACAACUUACAAACAAUGCUGCCCUCCUUGCUCUGGGUUUCUCUGUAUUGCUUUGGAGGUUGUCCUGGAACUCGCUCUGUAGACCAGAGAUCUGCCUGCCUUUUCCUCACAAGUGCUGGGACUAAAGCGUCAUCAUUGCCUGGCAAGAUUUAUUUAUUUUUUAUGUACAUUGCCUGUUUUACAUGCAUCCAUGUCUGUGGGAAGAUCCUGAAACUGGAGUUAUAGUUGUGAGCUAUCCUGUGG
rnacentral:lncRNA from 1 species